rnacentral:rRNA from 1 species
ACUCAAAGGAAUUGACGGGGCCCCGCACAAGCGGCGGAGCAUGCGGAUUAAUUCGAUGCAACGCGAAGAACCUUACCUGGGCUUGAAAUAUACGGAAAUCCCGCAGAGAUGCGGAGUCGGUUCGUCCGGUCGUAUACAGGUGGUGCAUGGUUGUCGUCAGCUCGUGUCGUGAGAUGUUGGGUUAAGUCCCGCAACGAGCGCAACCCUUGCCUCAUGUUGCCAGCGCGUUAUGGCGGGGACUCAUGAGGGACUGCCGGGGUCAACUCGGAGGAAGGUGGGGAUGACGUCAAAUCAUCAUGCCCCUUAUGUCCAGGGCUUCACGCAUGCUACAAUGGCCGGUACAGAGGGUUGCGAUAUCGCGAGAUGGAGCCAAUCCCAAAAAGCCGGUCUCAGUUCGGAUCGGAGUCUGCAACUCGACUCCGUGAAGGUGGAGUCGCUAGUAAUCGCAGAUCAGCAACGCUGCGGUGAAUACGUUCCCGGGGCUUGUACACACCGCCCGU